rnacentral:rRNA from 1 species
GGCCUUGACAUGCUGAGAACUUUCCAGAGAUGGAUUGGUGCCUUCGGGAACUCAGACACAGGUGCUGCAUGGCUGUCGUCAGCUCGUGUCGUGAGAUGUUGGGUUAAGUCCCGUAACGAGCGCAACCCUUGUCCUUAGUUACCAGCACGUAAUGGUGGGCACUCUAAGGAGACUGCCGGUGACGAACCGGAGGAAGGUGGGAAUGACGUCAAGUCAUCAUGGCCCUUACGGCCAGGGCUACACACGUGCUACAAUGGUCGGUACAAAGGGUUGCCAAGCCGCGAGGUGGAGCUAAUCCCAUAAAACCGAUCGUAGUCCGGAUCGCAGUCUGCAACUCGACUGCGUGAAGUCGGAAUCGCUAGUAAUCGUGAAUCAGAAUGUCACGGUGAAUACGUUCCCGGGCCUUGUACACACCGCCCGUCACACCAUGGGAGUGGGUUGCUCCAGAAGUAGCUAGUCUAACCUUCGGGGGGACGGUUACCACGGAGUGAUUCAUGACUGGGGUGAAGUCGUAACAAGGUAAGCGUAGAUGA